rnacentral:misc_RNA from 1 species
GUAUCUUUAUUUCUCUUCCUGUUUCACAAUUAUAACAUUGACUUUGAUCGCAAACUAGAAUUUACUACUUACUCUCUGCUAUUUAAUGUUCGACAGACACAGUUGUGAUAAAAGAGAUAUUUCUUACAAAUAAAAAAUGAACAGGAUUUCAAAGACGAUACUAGCUGUCUGGUUAUUUCAAGUUAUAUUUCUGGAAAAUUCUUUGGUAUUCGGAGAUGGAAAUGAAAUCGCGGAAUGUAAAAUUAACUGUGCGUGUUGUAAGAAUCAAGAUUGUGGUCCAAAAGGUUACUUUUCCGAAGGUAAUUGUUAUCAGGGCUGCCUUGAUGGGUACCACGGUGCACGGUGCUAUCAGAAAUGCACUUAUAACUGCACAAAAUGUGAUCAAGUUGUACACGAAUGUACGUCCUGCUACGAGGGAUAUUACCCUGGUUCAAAAAGAGACUGCACAGAAAAAUGCCCCAUUGGUUGUAAAUCAUGUAACUCUAGUAAAAUUUGCACUGAAUGCAAGGAAGACCUUUACAAUGCAAAUGGAUCAACAGAUUGUCCAUUUAGUCGUUGUCCGUUACACUGUGAGUGUGAGGAGGGUAUGUGUAUAUCAUGUAAAGCUGGUUACUAUGAUGCAAGUUCAGAAUGCACCAAGACAUGUCCGUCUAAUUGUGUCUCGUGUUCAUCAAGAGAUACCUGUGAAGUGUGUAAAGCCGGGCAUUACAAUGGCCACGAAUUUGACAAUGACAAUAAUGUACUUUUGAAUAACUGUACACACGAAUGCAGAACAAAUUGCUCCAGCUGUUCAUCUUUUGAGGAAUGCCUGCAAUGUGAGUCUGGUAAAUAUGGCAUAAUUUGCGAAAACGAAUGCUCAGUCGGGUGUAAAAACAGGGUUUGCCUGAAGAAAAAUGGCAAAUGUGAAGCUUGCUUGAAAGGAAAAUAUGGAGAAACAUGUAGCCUUCCAUGUCCCUACAAUUGUCAUAAUAAUACAUGUUACAAAGAAACCGGAUAUUGUUUUGCAUGCAACGGAAACUAUGACGGAAACGAAUGUAACAACUGUAAAGCGGGGUUUUAUGGGCCGUCAUGUAACGAAACUUGCUCUAGUCAAUGUUUGAAUUCUACUUGUGAUAAAGCUACAGGACAGUGUCAUUUUGGUUGCAAAAGUAAUUAUUCUGGAGAUAAAUGCUGUGUAAAGAGUGCUAAUUGUCUUAAUUGUUCGUCAAAUACUGAAUGCAGUAGUUGUAAACCGGGAUAUUUUAGCGAGGGAUGUAAUAAAACAUGUUCUCCAAAUUGUGCAGAUUCCUGUGGCAUAAGUGAAGGCUUUUGUGCAUCGUGUAAUGGUGACUUUCAUGGUCUAUUUUGCAAUUUAUCUUGUCCAAUAUCUUGCAAAGCACCACAAGACGAACACAUCAGUAGAUGUGAACAACAAAGAGGAAACUGUCCCUAUGGAUGUGUGGAUGGUGUUUUUGGGAUAAAAUGCAAUGAGACGUGCUACAGUGGUUGUAUUGACAAUAUAUGCAUUCAAGAUACAGGAACAUGCACAAAGGGAUGUGAUAAACCAUAUGAAGAUCCUGCGUGUCAUUUAAGUUCAGGACAAAGGUCCAUUGAACCUCCUCAAUCGAACGUUACAGGACCCGUUGUAGGAGGGGUUGUCGGUCUUAUAAUGUUAACAGCCGGAGUCGUUGUUGCGAUUUUCUUCUACAAACGACGAUGCAUAGGCAAAGAUGAAGACAGUCCAGGAAAUGCUAAAGAAACGGACUCUAAGAACAAAGAAGAUCAUGUAUAUGGAAACAUCCCCGACAAUGCACUUUCAGGGAAAGAGACACAGAACAAACAUUCGGUGAACAAGUCAUCACCUGUAAUAGAUAUUGAUGACGUUGAAAUAAACGAAAAAUCUGAUGGUUUAGCAACCAAACCUGACGGGACGUAUUACAACACUGAACAUAAUAACCACAGAGUGAAUGUUGACAAUCUACUUGCGUAUGUUACCAAGGAACACGUUGAUUCAUUUGAAAAUGAAUUCAUGAAGCUAAAUAAAGGGUUAGACUUGACAGAAAAUUGCACCGUUGCCAAAAAGCCCGAAAAUAUUGCGUUAAACAGGUACAAUGGAAUAUACCCGUAUGAUCAUUCUAGAGUGACUUCGCCUGGUCAGCCUGACUAUUUCAUCAAUGCAUGUUACAUCGAUGGUUACAACAGAAGGAAAGCUUAUAUCGCCUCUUUAGGACCUACUGCAAAGACUACCGAUACUUUCUCUACAUUUUGGAGUAUGGUUUGGAAUGAGAAAUCUGACAUCAUUGUUAUGUUGACAAAUCUCCGUGAAGCUACGGGCAUGAAGUGUGAACGAUACUGGCCAAAAGUGGAGACAGAAACGUUGUAUGGUCAAAUUAAUGUAAAAUGUCGAAGUGUAGAGGAAUAUGCUGAGUACACAGUCAGAACGUUCACCAUUUCAAAGGGUCAAGAACAGAGAAACCUACUGCAGUUACAUUACACGGCAUGGCCUGAUAAAGGCGUGCCCUUGGAGGUAACGAGCCUUGUAGAAUUCCGACAAAGGGUAAAGGCAGUUCCAGUGACGUUUGAUGGUCCUAUUAUAGUCCAUUGCAGUGCUGGAGUAGGUAGAACUGGCACCUACAUUGCUCUAGACCAGCUCACAGAAGAAGGCAAGUGUGAAGGAUCUGUUGAUGUGUUUAACUGUGUAAACAGAAUGAGGGAGCAAAGGGUCAACAUGGUCCAGACUGCUGAGCAGUACACAUUUCUUCACAAAUCGCUGGCACACUCGCUUUCAUUCGGUUGCGAGGCACUGACAGCUGAGCAGAUACAAGACAUUAUGUACCAGACAGAUGACAGGAUGUUCACAAAGCUGUACCAGACAUUACGGCAAGAAGUUGAUAUCGAGAGCAAAGAAGAGGUAGACGCACGUAAGGAGAACAGACGAAGAUAUAAGGACAAGAACAGGCGACAGUCUGAUAUACCUGGAGGCAGUAGUCAAGUGCGAUUGUACCUCUCUAGGAAAUACGGACAACAUGACUACAUCAACGCCGUUUUCAUAAAUAGUUUUCGGAUCAAGAACCUGUUCAUUGCUACUCAGUCUCCGCUUCCUGGAACUGUUGAAGACUUCCUCAGCAUGAUAUAUCAACAAAACAGUACAUGUGUGGUAGCGUUGGAGGAGCAACACAAUCAACACAAUGAUGUUGGAAAAUAUCUUCCUGCUGAUAAUGAGACUUACACAUUUGGUAAUUUUACUGUAAUGAGCUCAAAAUGUGAGACAAAACCACAGUAUGUUUUGAAGAAAUUAUCCAUUCGCAAUGAGAAGAGUGACGAGAAAACAGUUUCUCACUUCCAGUACAAAAGCUGGGGAAAUUCUAAGAAAGUUCCAGAUAGCGCGGAAACAUUUGUACAGUUUAUAAAAGAAGUAGAAGGUUGCAUCCGCCGACGAACGGAGGAUACACCACACAUAGUAGUUCACUGCUUAAACGGCUACGAAAGGUCUGGAUUAUUUUGUGUCGUGUAUAAACUGCUAGAGAAACUGGAGGCAGAGCGACAAGUCAGUGUUGUUAACACUGUGAGGAAAAUCAGAACACAUCGGAAGCAGUCUAUAAAUUCUGUGGAACAACUCAAGUUUUGUUACCAGUGCAUUUCUGCCUAUAUGGAAAUAUACAACACCUACUCAAACUUCGCUACUUGAGAAAUUGUGUACAGCUCUUGUUCAAAAUAGUUCUGAUUGUUUAAGGCAGGAAACAGCGAACAGUAGACUGAUAGAGACAUAAAGACAAUUUACCAAUAAUUGUACAUUAAGAAUGAAUCUUAAAUACUUACAAUUACAUUUUGAUGUACAUAACUAUUUGCUUAUUAUUGUUUUAACCUCCCAUAUUUAUUUCUUGUAUUUUUGAAUAUACUUAUUUUCCCAGAAACGUGUUUUAUGUAUAUUAAAAGAAACUUUUAACGCCCUUUAAUAUAUGUUUGACGUUUUCUUUCAGAAUUCUAUGCAUUUUUUUCUUACACAUUUAGACAAAUAUGUUGUUAAUGACAUAGCAAAAUUUUAACAGAAUCAGAUCGUGCACAGAUAUCACUUCAUCUAUUUUGCAAGAUCUGUCAAUUUCAAAUUAGUCACUAAAUCACAAAUAAACGUAGCGUAACUUUUCACGAUAAAGGUCAUAUAUCACCAUCACCAACAGAUUAAUUCUCAAGAUAUAGCAAGACAUUCAAAGACUUUUUUGUUUGUUUUUGUCAACAUUUACCUACCGUAUAACCAGAUUCUGCUCGUUUGUUAUGUGUAUUUCUUUUAAAGUUAGUUUAGCCGUAGAAUACAUAAAAUGAUAUUAUAACAUAUUUCGACUGUGUUGAAAUUUUGAUAUAUGAUUUUUCUAAAUAUGUAAGAAAUUUCAAAGGCGUAAUUUUAGUAAUAUGGAUGAUACUGACAGAUAUAACAAGGGGCGUUAAAAGUUUCAUAAAGUGUAUAUUAAAUUAAAUAAAAGUGUGCUAUGGAUGUUUAUCAACCAAUGUGUAUAUAAAGCAAAAUAUAUUAUUUUGUCAUACAAAAGCCUGAAAUUUAUUAAUAUGAGUGAAAGAGUAAUGAGAGUUAUUCAUCAUUUUGUUUGUCAAGUAAUUGAUAUUGUUUCUUUAAAGGGAAAGGAAUGCCAGACAAUAAGUUACUUCCACAUGAAAGCCAUCCUCAAGCCUUUCAUAACGCUGAAAGAAGUUUUAAAUUUUAAAAUCGGACAACUAUUGAAAAAGAUAUGGAAGUUUGAAACUUAAAAAAUGGCUACAGGAGGCAGCCAUUGAUGACGUCGUUUACAUAUUGUUAAAUUCUUUAUUUAAACAAUAAUCUUUAUAAUAGAUUAAUUUGCAAUUAUUCUUGGGUGCAAGAUGUAAAACAUGUUAAUUUCUUUCAUUUUAGUUGGAAAAAGUAGAGGAAUAAUUUUAUAUUCCUAAUAAAUGAAUUCAGUUCAAAUAUAAAUUUAGAAAUUUUACGAAUACGCUAUUUACUUUCGCCUUGCUGUGGAAACAAAAUAGCCGUCAUUUCAAUCAAACAUUGAAAUGUUAAUAGCUUUCUUAUUUUAAGCAGAUUUCGAAAAUUCUUUCUUUAAACAGUUUAAGAAAUCAUAGCAGAUGGAAUUAACAUCGUUGCCUUUCCCUUUAAAUGCUUUAAAAUAUAUGCUCAUUAACAUAGAUUAUACUAACCUAACACGCACAGAUAUUAUCUAAGCAGAAAAGCAAUAAAAUGUUUGAAAAACUGAUCGAUAUAUUCUAAUGUGCUCAAAAUGAGAUAGUUCCUUUCAUGUUUUUGUAUAUAUGUUAAGGUCAUACAGAUACAUAAUACAAAGAUCCAUGCAGCAAAGGUCAUACAGAUACAUAAUACAAAGAUCCAUGCAGCAAAGGUCAUACAGAUACAUAAUACAAAGAUCCAUGCAGCAAAAUGACUGCAAAAUUGUUGAAAAAGACGUUAAACCCGAACACACAUACACACACACCAUGAAGCAAAACAAUACAUGUUACGUAGCGUUUAGCUAACAUUUAUUCCAAGUGGUAAUAAUGAUUUGAAUAACUUUAACAAAAUGCUGCUUCCUUACCUGAAAUGUGUAUUUAGGUUCUCUAAGUUAUCGCCUUUGAUGGGGGAUACAGAACAGUUCCUUCUCUCAUGAAUCGAGUCACUUAUCGUUCCGUAAAGUGGACGUCUGUGUUUCCAAAAAUGACGAUUUGAACGUUUAUACACAGCAGGGUCUAUACUCUUUACCAGCAGUUUUAUAUAAUAAAUACUGUUGUCUCCCAUUUACUACUACCUGAAACGAACUGUCAGCAUUUUAAAAUAUACCUUAGACGUUUUAAACAUAGAUAUUUCAAUGUUGUUGCUUUUAGCAUCGAUCUCUGAAUUAAAUUUGAAUUCCUUUUCCUAUCCUAUAUUUCUAUAUUCAGUAGAAGAACAUCAGUUGAUAUAGAUCAUAUAUGAAUGGCAACGUUUCAUAAAAAUCCGCUUCUCAACAACAUUUUCACGUUAAAGUAGACAAAAACAUGAAAUAACUCUUCCGGGUCUAUUUGAGAGACAUUGUUGUACUAAUUACUAGACAUCUAGCAUGGCUUUAUGUUUGUCUUUUUAAAAGAAUGUAAAACUGUAACAAGAAGUGUUUGUUAUUAUAAUUAAUAAACUGUAGAUCUAAAA